GCGGCAGCUACCAUGCAGUCGAGGGGUAUAGUUCUUCGGAACUAGAGACCGGCGCACGGGUGCGUAACGCGUAUGCAAUCUACCUUUUACAGAGGGAUAGCCCAGAGAAAUUUGGAUUAAUACCUCAUAGUAUAAUGACUCGGCAUCGAGAUAUUAUUAAAGUCACAACGGUAAAAGAUGAGCAUGCGUCCCAUUAGCUAGUUGGUAAGGUAACGGCUUACCAAGGCUACGAUGGGUAGGGGUCCUGAGAGGGAGAUCCCCCACACUGGUACUGAGACACGGACCAGACUCCUACGGGAGGCAGCAGUGAGGAAUAUUGGACAAUGGGCGCAAGCCUGAUCCAGCCAUGCCGCGUGCAGGAUGACGGUCCUAUGGAUUGUAAACUGCUUUUAUACGAGAAGAAACAACAUUACGUGUAAUGUCUUGACGGUAUCGUAAGAAUAAGGAUCGGCUAACUCCGUGCCAGCAGCCGCGGUAAUACGGAGGAUCCAAGCGUUAUCCGGAAUCAUUGGGUUUAAAGGGUCCGUAGGCGGUUUAAUAAGUCAGUGGUGAAAGCCCAUCGCUCAACGGUGGAACGGCCAUUGAUACUGUUAGACUUGAAUUAUUAGGAAGUAACUAGAAUAUGUAGUGUAGCGGUGAAAUGCUUAGAGAUUACAUGGAAUACCAAUUGCGAAGGCAGGUUACUACUAAUGGAUUGACGCUGAUGGACGAAAGCGUGGGUAGCGAACAGGAUUAGAUACCCUGGUAGUCCACGCCGUAAACGAUGGAUACUAGCUGUUGGGAGCAAUUUCAGUGGCUAAGCGAAAGUGAUAAGUAUCCCACCUGGGGAGUACGUUCGCAAGAAUGAAACUCAG
rnacentral:rRNA from 1 species